rnacentral:rRNA from 1 species
UCCGGUUGAUCCUGCCGGACCCCACUGCUAUCGGGGUGGGACUAAGACAUGCUAGUCGUGCGCCUCCAAGCCACGGUGGAGGCGCGGCGCACAGCUCAGUAACACGUGGCUAACCUACCCUUGGGACAGGGACAACCCCGGGAAACUGGGGCUAAUCCCCGAUAGGUGAGGACUCCUGGAAUGGGUCCUCGCUGAAAGGGCGUCUAGACCAUGCUUCUAGACGCUGCCCAAGGAUGGGGCCGCGGCCGAUCAGGUUGUUGGUGAGGUAACGGCUCACCAAGCCUAAGACCGAUACGGGCCGUGAGAGCGGGAGCCCGGAGAUGGACACUGAGACAAGGGUCCAGGCCCUACGGGGCGCAGCAGUCGCGAAACCUCCGCAAUACGCGAAAGCGUGACGGGGCCACCCCGAGUGCCGUCCGCUGAGGACGGCUUUUCCCCAGUGUAGACAGCUGGGGGAAUAAGGGGAGGGCAAGUCGGGUGUCAGCCGCCGCGGUAAUACCCGCUCCCCGAGUGGUGGGGACGCUUAUUGGGCCUAAAGCAUCCGUAGCCGGCUGGACAAGUCCCCUGUUAAAUCCAGCGAUUUAAUCGCUGGACUGCGGGGGAUACUGUCCAGCUAGGGGGCGGGAGAGGCCGGCGGUAUUCCCGGGGUAGGGGUGAAAUCUUAUAAUCCCGGGAGGACCACCAGUGGCGAAGGCUGCCGGCUGGAACGCGCCCGACGGUGAGGGAUGAAAGCUGGGGGAGCGAACCGGAUUAGAUACCCGGGUAGUCCCAGCUGUAAACGAUGCGGGCUAGGUGUUGGCACGGCUACAAGCCGUGUCAGUGCCGCAGGGAAGCCGUUAAGCCCGCCGCCUGGGGAGUACGGCCGCAAGGCUGAAACUUAAAGGAAUUGGCGGGGGAGCACCACAAGGGGUGAAGCUUGCGGUUUAAUUGGAGUCAACGCCGGG